AUAAUAAUAACAAUAAAAUCCUGUAAGGCCCAAAACCCAUCAGCUCUCCGCCGUUCACUCUAUUCCACCGCCAUCUUGAUAUUAAUAAACGCCGAUCAACAACAUGAAAUUCCAAAUCGAGGACUUGCCAUACGAUAAUAUUUAUCCAGAGCAAUAUUCAGAUAUGGUGGAACCAAAGCGUGACCUGGAGGCCAAGGGACAUGCCUGCUGCCUUCUAGAAAUGUCGACAGGCAGCGGGAAGAACCAUGGCGCUUCUGCCAGCUACACGCUUCCAAAGCCAUUGAAGCUAAUCUAUUGCACAGGCACUGUGCAUGAGAUGGAGAAAACCCUUGAGGAGCUCAAAUUGAUCUCUACCCUCGUCUUCUCGACUUCACCCGAUUGUUAUAGUGGAAGCUUUACAAUGUCCUUGAUAGAAAUUGUAUAUGCCCAAUGGUUCUCACUCGCAGGAAGUACAAUGUUGAAGCUGAAUCUUUUAUUUAUUUGUAGAGUCUCCUAGGUGAAUCUAUCUAUAUGUAACAUGCCCCAAGCAUUAUAUCAAUUUUGAGGAUUUAAUUUGUAGUUGGUUGCAUUUUGUGUUCAACAGUGACCAAUCUCCGAUGAGCCCAAACUUGAUAUGAGAAGUGAUCCAGGUGUUGCAAGCAAUUAUGGGAAGCCCUUGAUGGAAUUGGUCUCUGUUGUCCCGGAUGGAAUUGUAUGCUUUUUUGUUAGUUACUCGUACAUGGAUGGAAUUAUCAAUAACUAUAAAGAAACUGGAAUUCUUAAGGAAAUAAUGCAACAUAAGGUUGUCUUUAUCGAGACCCAAGAUGUAGUAGAAGCGACUUGCUCUUGGUUAACUAUCGCAGGACUUGUGAUUGUGGGAGAGGUGCAGUUUUUUUUCGCUGUUGCUAGGUCAAGUUCCAAAUAGAAGAUGGCAAUUUCCUAAAGUUUGAUGCUCUGCAGAGACAAGCAAUUUAAUGUGUGGGCCAAGUAAUCAGGUCGAAGGCCGAUUGUGGGAUGAUGAAAUUUGCUGAUGAAAGAUAUAGCCAUCAUUACAAGCGCUCAAAGUUGCCUGGCUGGUACUAUCACAUUUGCGUGAUGCAAACCUGAAUUUGAGCACUGAUAUGGUGUUGCCCAUAGCUCGAGUUCCUUUGGAAGAUGGCUCAAUCUCAAUCAUAUGAUAAGACUGGUGCAAGCGGUAGAAAAACCUUGCUGUCACAAGUAGACUACUUGGAGAAGAUGGCCGAAAGUGGAUUGCGAAAAAUGUUGUAUUAAUACUUUACUAUGAUAUAAAUUGUCGGCUAGAUGGCUGCGUGGGCUGUUCGAUAUUCUUCCAAUUUCCAUAAGCAUAAAGAGAUGUCUUUUUGGUUUGGAUUAUGCUGGUGAUGAUAUGAGAUGACAUUUCAUCAUA